UCCCACAUCAGAAUUGACAAGUGCCGGGU
rnacentral:piRNA from 1 species